rnacentral:rRNA from 1 species
GACGAACGCUGGCGGCGUGCUUAACACAUGCAAGUCGAACGGUAAGGCCUUCGGGUACACGAGUGGCGAACGGGUGAGUAACACGUGGGUGAUCUGCCCUGCACUUUGGGAUAAGCCUGGGAAACUGGGUCUAAUACCGAAUAGGACCACGCGCUUCAUGGUGUGUGGUGGAAAGCUUUUGCGGUGUGGGAUGGGCCCGCGGCCUAUCAGCUUGUUGGUGGGGUAAUGGCCUACCAAGGCGACGACGGGUAGCCGGCCUGAGAGGGUGACCGGCCACACUGGGACUGAGAUACGGCCCAGACUCCUACGGGAGGCAGCAGUGGGGAAUAUUGCACAAUGGGCGCAAGCCUGAUGCAGCGACGCCGCGUGAGGGAUGACGGCCUUCGGGUUGUAAACCUCUUUCAGUAGGGACGAAGCGCAAGUGACGGUACCUAUAGAAGAAGCCCCGGCUAACUACGUGCCAGCCACCGCGGUAAGAC